UUAGCUUUCACGACUAACCUAGGUCGUUCCCUUUCCCCAGCCUCCCCUUCUCCUCUCGAGCCCUCCCAUGCCGGCCGCCGCCGCUCGUCAGUCGUUGCCACUCCUUUGCGCGGCUGCGACCUACCUGCAUCCCUGCACGCCGCCCCUCACCACUCCCCUGUGAUCCUCUGUCCCGGCGCCGCUCCUCACCGCUGCCCUGCGACCCUCCGUCCUAGCGCGCCGCCCCUCGUCACCACCCCUGCAGCCCUGCAUCCCGGCGCGCCGCCCCUCGUCACCGCUCCCCUGCGACCAACGGUGAAUCCAAGGUACGGCCAUGAACAAGCACAGGCAACCGCAUCCCUCGUUCCACAUCCGUAGCCCCUCGCGGUACCAAUGCAUCAUCCACAUCUGUAGCCCCGUUCGUCCUCCUCCAGUGCUCCUCCUCCUAAUUGUUCUCCACUAUUCACGUGUCCUCCAUGUAAAACGAUCCAGGAAGCCUCUCCCUUUUUUUGCGAAUAGGAAUCCUCUCCCUGAUCCCUGCUCUGCAACCUUUUAAUAUCCACUGCACCAGGACAUCCUUCCAAUUUCGCAUUCCAUGCCCAACCAAAACUGAAAUCCAAUGCAGCGGAAAAGGCGGUACAUCAAAGACAGUUUGUAUCUGAUUGGACAGCCCCUAUUGUUGGUGAAGUUGCCGAGAAGAGGAACUAUUGCAGGCUGGCCGCAGGUACAGAAGGAGCAAGAAGAGAACAUCUGAAGCUACGUACUACUUGGAUGGCUAAAUUUGUGCUAUACAAGCAAUUAGGUGAUUCAAUUCAGCGAAGGCGUGGUCGUACCUCUGCACAGCAAACUCAAGCACCACUUCUAAUAUUGUUGGAAAGUGGAUAAGUCGGUUUGGAGCAGUACACGAUUUGUUCAAUGUACUUCGCUAUGUUCCUUACAUGCAAAAGGUACGGGUUUGUUUACUUGAAAUGUUCUUUCAAUUUUAUCCUCACCCAGUGAUCCACAGCUUAAAAGCACAAACUACUCUGUUCAGAUGGAAUAUCUUUGAUAGUGUUAUUGCAGACUUGAAGGUAUAUGCAUCAGGAGGUCAAGGUGGCAGUGGCACCGUAACAGUAUUUAUUUGAAACUACACGCGAGAUCAAAAAAUGAUUCUAAGUUAACCUCUUUCCUCAUAUAUUUGUCUGCUUGGUUUGUUUUAAUGCCGUUCUUUUGUUAAAUUGAUGUACUAAAUAAUUAAGAACAUUUAUGGUGCUAGAACUUGCUUAGGAAGAGCUGUUAUGAAAUUAAGAUCUGGUUUUUGUAAUUUGCUGACUGAAUCCAUGAUACUAAACUGUAUGUUUGUUGUAGUUCAUAUAUAUGUUAUACAUACAUGUGCAGUUACUAGGCACGCAUUGUGAGUAGAUAAGUUGAGUCUCCAUUUAUUUCGUUAAGCACAAAAUAUGAUCUUGCAUACAUGUAUUUCCAUUCUCAUAUAAUGGAAAAUAUACUAAAGGAAAGACUCAUGCUGUAUGCUUCUGAUUCAUGUUGAAAGUGUGUAACCUGUUUUCCACAAUUCUUCCUUUUCACAUAAUAGGAAAAGGUCAGUAACAAAAAAAGGAAGCUCACUGAGCACAUCAUUACAGAUCACCUGACGAAAGCCCAGGCGAUGAAGAGGAUAAUCAAGUUGAGAGCCCCGACCGAGGACGUAUAAUGGCUGAAUGAACUUCUCAUCUGCGCUUUGGCUGCAUCCCGUGCCUCCAGGUGUGUAGGUAUUGGCUUCAUACUGUUCUAUUUUAUACACGCACGUACUGGACUAGAGGUUUGAUUUCUAGGACAAUAUCUUAUUUACUACUUUACACCUUUUUGCAUGAUGCAUGGAUGAGGAGCUCAUAUAAGUUUGGAGAGCAUGGAUCAUAUGAUUAGUUUCAGUGGGGCUAAGCUAAAAGAGGAUUAAUGAUGCUUACAAUACGUAUAUGCACAGCCACGCAUUUUUUGAUAUUGGUUCAAAAGAUAAAUGGAUGAUUAUAUGGGUAUGUGGCAAAUAUACUGAUGAUGAUAAUGAUGAUGAUUAUGAUGUUGGAUGCUUUCAAUUUUAGUUAAGUUGUAGGAAUGAUGUUCCUCUGUUAAGUUUUAGUUAAGUUGUAGUGAUGUUGAGGGAUGCUUUUGGUUUUCAUUUUGUUGUCAAGAAAAUAUUUAGAUUAUGCAUCACAUUUGGAUGAUGUUCCUCCUGUAAUAUCCACUGUUGUAAUCCAACAAUUUUAUAUAAUAUAUGAUUUCUUCCUCCUGUGAGUA